UGGGGAAUAUUGCACAAUGGGCGCAAGCCUGAUGCAGCCAUGCCGCGUGUGUGAAGAAGGCCUUCGGGUUGUAAAGCACUUUCAGCGAGGAGGAAGGUGGUGAGCUUAAUACGCUCAUCAAUUGACGUUACUCGCAGAAGAAGCACCGGCUAACUCCGUGCCAGCAGCCGCGGUAAUACGGAGGGUGCAAGCGUUAAUCGGAAUUACUGGGCGUAAAGCGCACGCAGGCGGUUUGUUAAGUCAGAUGUGAAAUCCCCGGGGCUCAACCUGGGAACUGCAUUUGAAACUGGCAAGCUAGAGUCUCGUAGAGGGGGGCUAGAAUUCCAGGUGUAGCGGUGAAAUGCGUAGAGAUCUGGAGGAAUACCGGUGGCGAAGGCGGCCCCCUGGANGAAGACUGACGCUCAGGUGCGAAAGGCGUGGGGGCAGCAAACAGGAUU
rnacentral:rRNA from 1 species